GGGGGGGGGGGGGUGUGCUUCCAGAGAGAAGAGGACGCUUGGGAGAUCUCGUGACAGUAGGGGCAGCUCUCCAGGCCAGCGGGAUGUGUGCAGGGGUUGGGGGGUCGGGAAGGACAGGCUGGAUACUGUCAGCAGCGGAGGGCCACCUCCCCAGGCACCUGGGGCCAUCUCUGUCUGCCCGGGGACAGCUGGAGCCGGAGUCACAGGGCUCCGGGACGACAACCCCACUGUGUCCCCUCCUCUCAGAAGGGCGCCGGCUGGGACGCGGGGCCCGCCCAGGCAAUCCAGGGUGCCCUCCCCGGAGAUCCUUGGUCAUCUCUGCGAAGGUCACCAGUAAGGUCACACCCCUAGGGGGACAUAACUGCGGUGUGGGAGCAUCAUUCCUCCCACUACAGGGACAAAAACGAAUUGCAAAGCCAAGCCACGUGUGUAGAAUGAGACUGUUGGUUCGUCACGAGCCUGUGUGUCGUUAGUAAAUGUGCGUGUGCACGUGUGUGUGCGUGCACACUAGAACACACGUGCACUUGCCCACCCUGGCUAAGGACAGGCCACGAGAAGGUGGCCAACAGCCGUGACUCCUUCAGGGGAUGCGGAGGGCUGCUGUCCCGUCUGGAGUAACACACGCCCUGAUUCGGUAUUUCUAAAUGAUCAUACCUUGCUUGUGUACUUCAGAGGGGGGCAGGCGGAGGGAGGAAGGGCCACCCCCGGCUCGGCUGAGGGUCUCGCAGCUCAGCGUGUGGUGGCCCUCGGGUCCAGCUCUGUCCACGACGGCGGCGCCUUCCAGACCUCACGCUGGCAGAGACGGCGUUCGGUGACCAGUGACCAGUGACGGGGCAGAACACCAUGUGACCGAGACAGAUGGACGAGAAUAGGCAUGACCGUGACUAUUUCCACAGCGAUGACUUUGGUAUCGCCUGGGGAUAGACUGGCAAACGUCCAUGUGAUUGUGGGAUUUUUUUAGGGGCAUGCGUGUGUGUCAGCCCUGCGCCCUGCGCAAACCCUGUCAUCAUUGUUGCUGAUCGCAACUGUUCUUACUUUUGGUUACUGGGGCUGGAUCCUGUCCCCAAAUGGACGUGUUGAAGUUCUGACCAUCCCCGUGGGAUGCUGUUAGGAGGGGGUCCUUGGGGCUGGUGGGGUUAGUGCCCUUGUGAGCAGAGACCCGAGUUCUCCCCACCCUCCGUCUCUGUCUGUCUCCCCACCUACCUCCACCUGCGAGGGCACAGCGAGAUGGUGGCCCCACAGCAGGCCAAGAGAGCUCUCCCCGGGAGCCCACCCCAAUCCCAUGACCUGACUCCAGACCCUGAGGUGUGCGUGCCCGGGGCCUGAGCCACGAGGCUGGGUUGUUCUGGGCGGCCUGACCUUGGCCAGCGGCGCACCGGCCUCUCUCGACAGAAUCCGAGUCCUCUGGGCCCUUCCUGGGGGCUUGCUGGUCCGAGCGAAGUUUUAAGUGUGUUUUCACCUUGAUGGUCCAUAAAAGAACUUGUCCGGUCGUGGUAACAAAAAAAAGCUUCCCUCCGACCCCAGACAGACUAGUUUCCGCCCAGCAUCUUGGGUUUCUCAAGGGGCUUCGUGCUGGGCUGUGGCCCUGGGGGGUGGGGGGUGGGGGUCCCAGGGCAGACCCGCAGGGCCCCGGAAGAUGGGCUUCUCCUAUAGAAGGGGCUUGGUCAGUCUGAGCGCCCACUUCAUGGGCUGCCCCAGGUUCUAUUGCCUGAACGGACCCUAAUUUACGGAACCCGUUGCCUCUUGACGGGCAUGUAGGGGGGUCUGAGCAUUCUACCUCCUGAGCGAGGCUGGGUGAGUGGCCUCCUGGCUGAAUCCAUACCGAUUCCGCAAUUAUUCACUAGAGGACAGGUCCCUGCCGGUGACAUUCUGGGUCAAAGGCUUUAUCUCCCUGGCUUCAGUGAUAAACAGUCUGCAGAGCCCCAAGCCGCCCCACUGGGGCCCUAGCUAGUCCUGGGGGCGUCCAGCUGGCUGCUCCCCGCCCCCACGCCCACCCUGUUCUUCGUUCAGUCCCAGAAUGCAUCUGCUCUCGCCUGCCUCUGAGCUUUUAUGGAUACUGUUCCCUCCGCAGGGACUUCCAGCUCGAGAUCGGUGGUGGCCCCCCGAGGCCCCUGCUCUGGGCAAGCCGACACCCACGUCGUAAGGACCCUCCAGCAGCCCCGCAGUCCAAGCGUCCAGGGGCCCCGCAGCCGGCACCAGCAUGGGAAUCCCCCAGCCCCAGCAAAGAGGACCACAUGCCUGGCUGACAUUUUGACACAAGAGAGGGUCAGGAGAGAGGCAGGGGGAGAGAAUAAGAG